rnacentral:lncRNA from 1 species
GUGUUCCGUCUUUGUCAUGCCGCUCGAUAUUUGCAGUUUAAAUGGACUCCUCAUCGUAACACUUGUUGCCAGUCCAGUCGUCCAACAUGAAGAUAAUAUAUUUGUUUUCGAUUUUAUUCAUUCACAGCUGCUAUUUGCUGCAAGGAGCACACACCCUCCCUAUGCCUGCUCCUCAAUUCCUGGAAGAAAACAUUUGUGGGCUUCCGUUAGAGCCGGAACGUUGUUUGUGUAAAACGCAAGAUGACGUUUCAGAAUGCGAAUAUUUUUCGUGAAAGAGCAGUAAUCCAUCAAUCAGAUUGGUUCGAAUAUUCGGAAUGGACCAUCGGAAAAAUCGCGUCAUACUUUGUUUUAUUCUGUUUUCCAGUUAUUUUGGGCUGAUUGAACCACAUAUUGAUUCAAACAAACAUCCCGAGAUGGUAUGCAAUCCGAAAGUUGUAUUCAAAGAUGAAUGUGGUAAUAUUUGCGUUUGUAAUCCACGAAGUGUCGCUCUAUGUGACGAUAAAGUUAUGAAGAGAUGUGGCAAAUAAUCGGUGACUAAGGCAAUCAACACACUUUUCAAUCCAAAUCAAAUAUACGGGAUUUCACAUGCUGCCGCUGCUUCGAACAAACUAGUGUCAUCCUCAGUGAAAACAACGCUAAACCUUCUCAUUAAUAAAGAAAUACAACAGCAAAACUUUUCGCUACAA